rnacentral:rRNA from 1 species
CCUACGGGAGGCAGCAGUGGGGAAUAUUGCGCAAUGGGGGAAACCCUGACGCAGCCAUGCCGCGUGUGUGAAGAAGGCCUUAGGGUUGUAAAGCACCUUCAAUUGGGAGGAAAGGUUGCACGUUAAUAGCGUGUAGCUGUGACGUUACCUUUAGAAGAAGCACCGGCUAACUCCGUGCCAGCAGCCGCGGUAAU